AAUAAAUAUAAAAAAUCAAAACAUCGAUUACAUCAAACCCUAGAUGAGAGAUUUAGUUCAUGACGGAAGAACAAUAAAAUCUCAAAUUCAUGACUAAAAACAUAAAGAAGAAGAAAUGAGAUAAAAUCUGUCUACUGGAGUUUGAUUCAAUCUUCUUCUUAUUGUUGAUUUCGCUCCUUUGCUUGAUCUCUUACUUUUGCUUCGUCAAAAAGUGUAGUUAAAAAGUGCCUCACAAGUUGUAUUUAUGCCUUAUUCAAGUUUUGGACAAGUUUUAGUAGAAUUGGCAUUUUAAACAAAUGAGAAAUCGAAAUAAAUCCCGAUUCUUGUGGCAUAAUAGUGCUUGGGCGCUACUUCCUUCAACUAGUUGGCGUCCAGGGGCUUCGAUAUGCGUUUAGGUGCUACAUCUCUACAAUUAUUAUCUAUUUUUAGCUCUAGUGGCUCCUAGGUGUUCGAGACAGAGCAAUUGGCUUUAAGUGGCAACUAGAUACCACUAAGUGCCACCAAGAUAGUACUAGUGGCCUUCGUGAUCAAUUUCGUUCAUUUUUGGCUUCUUUCUUUGCAUGGUUUCAACUAUUUUUUUUCCAUGGUUCAUGAAUAAACACCAUUCUUUAGUUGUUCCAAACUCCUUUUCACCACUUCACCUAACCUAAAAAUAACACUAAAACACACAUCAAAACAUUCUAAAUCUCAAAGUAUUAGUGAUACUCGUUCAUCAAACACCCCAAACUUUAUAUUUUGCUAGUCCUCAAGCAAACACAAAAACAAAAGAAAAGAUCUAAUGCAAAAACACAUACAAAACUAAACCUAUCAACUCGUAUAAAACAAGUUUAGUUAGAUAGCAGGCCUUUCUAGCUCAGGAUUGAAACACUACAUCAAAUUUAUGAAUUGAUUCAAAAUCAUAAUGCAAAAGCCAAAUUCUACUUAUCCAUUACAAAAUGGAUAUGUGUGUGUGAAGAAUCAAGUACAACGUUGUACACACAAUUUGGUUGAAUUCCUGAUCCUCAAUAGUCAAAUAUAUCAUUUCUUCACUCAUGAGAUUUACACAUCCAAACUUAUUUUCUUUUAUUCUCUUCCCAGGAUAUAUUCUAAGGUUCAUUUUCAAUUUACUACUUUCUUUCACCACUUAAAUUUGGUUGAUUCUAAUUGACAACAUUAACAAUCUAUCCAUGCGAUGAUUCUUCUAAACUUUGAGUGCUUCAACCAUCAAGCUUAUACUAAACAAUUCACACUCACUUGUUAUCUAAGCCCUCACAAUUCAAUCUUAUUUGCAUAGUUACUUGCUCUUUUAUUUUCAAUUUUGUUUUUAGUUCAAGAUCUACCCACCCUUUUAAGCUUUCUUCUUGACCCCUGUAAUGAGCUUUUAGUCGAUAACUCCUUAGCUUUAAAGGCCAAAGGGUGCCUAGUUUUGAGAUACCCCAACGGAUUUACUAACUUGAGUGAAAAAAAGGCUACGGAGUAAAGCACAUGAUCAACAACUACGAUGCCGUUUUCUUUUUUUUUUUCAAGGCAAACAUAAAUGGGGCUUGGAUCCCUAGCAUUCAAUCAUUACCUAGCUUAUACUUGAUAGUUAAAGAGACUCCACAUAAGUACUUUUUUCAACAUGCACAGAUCAACACAGUUCUAAAUAAUUUCUUUCUCCAACUUGAC
rnacentral:lncRNA from 1 species